CCCUACGGGACGCAGCAGUGAGGAAUAUUGGUCAAUGGGCGCGAGCCUGAACCAGCCAAGUCGCGUGAGGGAAGACGGUCCUAUGGGUUGUAAACCUCUUUUGUCGGGGAGCAAAAGACGCCACGCGUGGCGUUCCGAGAGUACCCGAAGAAAAAGCAUCGGCUAACUCCGUGCCAGCAGCCGCGGUAAUACGGAGGAUGCGAGCGUUAUCCGGAUUUAUUGGGUUUAAAGGGUGCGCAGGCGGAAGAUCAAGUCAGCGGUAAAAUUGAGAGGCUCAACCUCUUCGAGCCGUUGAAACUGGUUUU
rnacentral:rRNA from 1 species